rnacentral:rRNA from 1 species
UACGUAGGGUGCAAGCGUUGUCCGGAAUUAUUGGGCGUAAAGAGCUCGUAGGCGGUCUGUCGCGUCUGCUGUGAAAACUCGGGGCUUAACCCCGGGCCUGCAGUGGGUACGGGCAGACUAGAGUGCGGUAGGGGAGACUGGAAUUCCUGGUGUAGCGGUGAAAUGCGCAGAUAUCAGGAGGAACACCGGUGGCGAAGGCGGGUCUCUGGGCCGGAACUGACGCUGAUGCGCGAAAGCGUGGGUAGCAAACAGG